AGAGUUUGAUCAUGGCUCAGAUUGAACGCUGGCGGCAGGCUUAACACAUGCAAGUCGAGCGGGGAAAGGUAGCUUGCUACCUUACCUAGCGGCGGACGGGUGAGUAAUGCUUAGGAAUCUGCCUAUUAGUGGGGGACAACAUUUCGAAAGGAAUGCUAAUACCGCAUACGCCCUACGGGGGAAAGCAGGGGACCUUCGGGCCUUGCGCUAAUAGAUGAGCCUAAGUCGGAUUAGCUAGUUGGUGGGGUAAAGGCCUACCAAGGCGACGAUCUGUAGCGGGUCUGAGAGGAUGAUCCGCCACACUGGGACUGAGACACGGCCCAGACUCCUACGGGAGGCAGCAGUGGGGAAUAUUGGACAAUGGGGGGAACCCUGAUCCAGCCAUGCCGCGUGUGUGAAGAAGGCCUUUUGGUUGUAAAGCACUUUAAGCGAGGAGGAGGCUCCCAGUAUUAAUACUACUGGAGAGUGGACGUUACCCGCAGAAUAAGCACCGGCUAACUCUGUGCCAGCAGCCGCGGUAAUACAGAGGGUGCAAGCGUUAAUCGGAUUUACUGGGCGUAAAGCGUGCGUAGGUGGCCAAUUAAGUCAAAUGUGAAAUCCCCGAGCUUAACUUGUGGGAUAUGCAUUCGAUACUGGUUGGCUAGAGUAUGGGAGAGGAUGGUAGAAUUCCAGUGUAGCGGUGAAAUGCGUAGAGAUCUGGAGGAAUACCGAUGGCGAAGCAGCCAUCUGGCCUAAUACUGACACUGAGGUACGAAAGCAUGGGGA
rnacentral:rRNA from 1 species